GUGGGGAAUAUUGGACAAUGGGCGAAAGCCUGAUCCAGCCAUGCCGCGUGUGUGAAGAAGGUCUUCGGAUUGUAAAGCACUUUAAGUUGGGAGGAAGGGCAGUAAGCUAAUACCUUGCUGUUUUGACGUUACCGACAGAAUAAGCACCGGCUAACUUCGUGCCAGCAGCCGCGGUAAUACGAAGGGUGCAAGCGUUAAUCGGAAUUACUGGGCGUAAAGCGCGCGUAGGUGGUUUUGUAAGUUGGAGGUGAAAUCCCCGGGCUCAACCUGGGAACUGCCUCCAAAACUGCAUGACUAGAGUACGGUAGAGGGUAGUGGAAUUUCCUGUGUAGCGGUGAAAUGCGUAGAUAUAGGAAGGAACACCAGUGGCGAAGGCGACUACCUGGACUGAUACUGACACUGAGGUGCGAAAGCGUGGGGAGCAAACAGGAUUAGAAACCCCAGUAGUCC
rnacentral:rRNA from 1 species